GCAGUCCCCGCCCACACCACCCCUGAUGACCAAUCCUGGGCUCCGCUGCCCACGCAUCAUAAUAGCCACCUUGGGACCGCUUUCUGCAGUCCCGCCCACGCUGGAGUGUUGCCAUGGGGACCGCAAACAGCCUGGGGCGGUAAGAGAGAGGACUUUCCCAGGAGGAAGCGGCCUCACCUAGGGAGACGCGCACAGGUACCCAAGGAGCAGAGCGCAGACCUGCCAUUCUCUAUUCAUGGAGUUUGUAAGUCAGCACGAAGGCCCAUUGACUAAGGAUGUGUGAUUUUGUUCCUCUGGACGCUGAGGUCAGUGCAGUACCAAUGCACAAUGCAACAACACACCAGUCUCCACGGAUUCUUGAAACACAGGAGGUCCAAAAGAUGGGAGAUCCCAUGUGCUACGGAUGAGCAGUUGCUGUGUGGACAUGCAGGGGAAAUCUCCAUGUCAGUCCAUGUGUACAUCUGAGAGAAAACCUGAAAGGCCACAAAUCUGAAUGUCUAAAAUGACCAAAGCUCACCACAGGUAGAUUUUAGCCUCUGACCUCCCAGCCCAUCCCACCAACCCUCCACCAGAGUGAAGCCAGAGUGACCUGCAGAGUUCCACAGGAAAUCCCAGCGGUAACCAAGGUGGCUGCCCCAAAGUUAAUAUUGCUUCCUGCACCUGUCACCACUCCUCGCUUGACUGGAGGACUUCAGUCCCUCAAUGCUUCCAUUAACAAACCACUGAAGGACCAUCCGACGACGAAGAAAUGAGUACUGGAUGGUGUCUGAAACAUUCUGGUGACACCUUCUGGUAAGAUUGAGAAAGUACUAGCAUCAAACCUUGCAGAAUGGGGAUCGGUGGCAUGGGAGAGUAUCCAGAAAGACAUAGGGGGCUGCUGUGUUGAGAAAUGCCACAUUAUCCAUUCUCCUGAUGGCACAGAGGAUGGUAUCAUGUGGAAAAACGUGGAUGUUGAUGACUUAGAGUCAAAAAGUGAAACUCUAUGCCUGUUCUUUGUGUCAAACGAAAUCAAAUCCUUUAUAUUUGCUUUUGAUUAUCUUCUAAUUACACUAAUAAUACAUGAACACAUUCUGUUACUUAAAACAAUGAAACCUACAGUUGCCACAGAAUUCCUCCUGCAUGGCCACUCACUCCCUGCUACCAAGCCUGAGGUCUUCCCUGAAGAUGACGUUGUAACUAGUGUGUGUAUCCCUGCUGGCAGGUUUUUUUUUUUUUUCUUAAUUUUCUUUUGCAUAAUUUGGAUUUCAUCUGUAAGUUAACGUAAAUGGUUAACAUAAAUGGUAUCUUAUGUAGUCAUGCUUUUGCAAUAUGCUUUUUCCACUUAAUAACAGAAUCUUGGGAGAACUUCUCAUAUUAAUGCAUAUAGGACAACCCCACGUCCAAACUGUUGAAUAGGGACAAUUUAUUUAUAUAUUUCCAUGUUGAGAGACAUUUGGGUUACUUUAUUUUAUAUAUUUACUUUGCUGUUAUAAAUGAUGAAACAUUCUCGUAUAGCCUGUU